GGAGGGGUGCCAGAGUGGUUGAAUGGGGCGGUCUCGAAAACCGUUGUGCGCGUAAGUGUACCGAGGGUUCGAAUCCCUCUCCCUCCGCCA
rnacentral:tRNA from 3 species